AAUGUGAUCUGGGUUCUGAUAUUAUCUCUGCGCUCUGCAGUGUGCCAUGGGCACAUGAGGAAUCUCAGAAGUCAUAACCAUGCCUGAUGACAACAGUUUCCUUUGGCCUGGUGUGGUAUUGUAAAUUGUCGCUUUUAGACCAACUUUUUAGUGAUAGACCCUCUCUAUGCUUUUUCUUGUAAGCUACUGCAGAUUCUUGCCACAGGUAUGAAGUAAAUUCUGUUAAUAGCCUUGAUUUUUCACCUGUGCCACCAUAUAUAUCUUUGCCAUGGCCUCAUCAUGGAUGGAAUAUACUUCCCUGCCCCUUGGACCAUGUAACUUUUUUGGAACAAUGAAAGAUGAUGGAAAUGACAGUAUACCUGUGCUCAGGUAUACUGUGCUAGGUCUUAAGAAGCCUCCAGUGUUUCCAGCUAUACAUCUGCCAUCACCAUGAGAAGGACCUGCUCAAGCAAACCACUAGUCACAGGAGGAGAAUGAGAGACACAUGGAGUAGAGCGGCCCUCAGAGUCCACCUAGAUUAGUUGUCAGCAGACCUCCAGUGGACUUGUAGAAACACAAACAAUAAUAAAAGGCUGUUGUUUUAAGC
rnacentral:lncRNA from 1 species